CAAGUGAACAACAGUUUCGGCCCUCCAAGAAGCAGAUGCUACGGAGGACUAUGUCUCGUACUAAUUUUUGUGAUGAGAAGAUGUGAUCAAGAGACAUCAGUCCAGGAUCUAAACCAUGGUGGAAAUGAAGAGCAGAACAUAGUGACACAUGCUGGCCUUGUCCUGAAACCUGAUGUCCACUACUCCCACUGCUCUGAAAGAGAGAAGAUUUAAAGUCACCUUUGAUGCUCCAAGAGUAGAUCAUAGGUAUCCCAGGCCUCUGCAGGGCCUGGAAGUAGCUUGUCCUACCCUUAGAGAGCUUUUCUAACUGACUUUUUCUGACAGUGAUUUGUCAGAUGUGUAGUGAAUUCUGCAAGUCCGGGC
ensembl:lncRNA